GGUACCUGCCCCCCGAGCUCGGCCUCCUUGCCGACCUCGCCCUCCUCCACCUUAACUCCAACCGCUUCUGCGGCGUCGUUCCGUCCACCCUCCACCACCUCCGCCUCCUCCAUGAGCUCGACCUCAGCAACAACCGCUUCGUGGGGCGGUUCCCGGACGUCGUCCUCGCCCUGCCCUCCCUCCGCUACCUGGACCUCCGCUUCAACGAGUUCGAAGGCUCCAUUCCCCCGGCACUCUUCGACCGUCCCCUCGACGCCAUCUUCCUCAACUCCAACCGCCUCGGGCACGGAAUCCCCACCAAUCUGGGCUCCUCCCCGGCCUCCGUGGUGGUGCUGGCCAACAACGACCUGGGCG
rnacentral:lncRNA from 1 species